AGUGAACGCUGGCGGCGUGCCUAACACAUGCAAGUCGAACGCGAAAGUCCUCUUCGGAGGGCAAGUGGAGUGGCAGACGGGUGAGUAAUGCAUAGGUAAUUUUCCCUUGAGUGGGGGACAACUGAUCGAAAGGUCAGCUAAUCCCGCAUGACAUCCUAUUGCAUAAGCGAUUGGAUUAAAGAGGGGGCUCUUCGGGACCUCUCGCUUAAGGAUGAGCUUAUGUCCUAUUAGCUAGUUGGUAGGGUAACGGCCUACCAAGGCACUGAUGGGCAGCCGAGCUUAGAGGCUGAUCGGCCACACUGGAACUGAGACACGGUCCAGACUCCUACGGGAGGCAGCAGUGGGGAAUUUUGCGCAAUGGGCGAAAGCCUGACGCAGCGACGCCGCGUGAGGGAUGAAGGUCUUCGUGAUCGUAAACCUCUGUCAGGGAGGAUUAAAUGUAUAGGUAUUAAUACUAUCUAUGCUUGACUUAACUCCCAGAGGAAGCCCCGGCUAACUACGUGCCAGCAGCCGCGGUAAUACGUAGGGGGCUAGCGUUACUCGGAUUUAUUGGGCGUAAAGCGAAUGUAGGCGGUUUCAUAAGUCAGAGGUGAAAUCCCUCAGCUUAACUGAGGAAUAGCCUUUGAUACUGCGGAACUUGAGGACAGGAGAGGAAAGUGGAAUUCCCGGUGUAGCGGUGGAAUGCGUAGAUAUCGGGAGGAACACCCAGAGGCGAAGGCGGCUUUCUGGACUGAUCCUGACGCUGAGAUUCGAAAGC
rnacentral:rRNA from 1 species